rnacentral:rRNA from 1 species
UACGUAGGGGGGCAAGCGUUGUCCGGAAUUAUUGGGCGUAAAGCGCGUGUAGGCGGCUCGGUAAGUCUGCUGUGAAAGUCCAGGCUCAACCCUGGAACGCCGGUGGAUACUGUCGAGCUCGAGUCCGGAAGAGGCGAGUGGAAUUCCUGGUGUAGCGGUGAAAUGCGCAGAUAUCAGGAGGAACACCGGUGGCGAAGGCGG